rnacentral:rRNA from 1 species
GACGAACGCUGGCGGCGUGCUUAACACAUGCAAGUCGAACGGAAAGGCCCUGCUUUUGUGGGGUGCUCGAGUGGCGAACGGGUGAGUAACACGUGAGUAACCUGCCCUUGACUUUGGGAUAACUUCAGGAAACUGGGGCUAAUACCGGAUAGGAGCUCCUGCUGCAUGGUGGGGGUUGGAAAGUUUCGGCGGUUGGGGAUGGACUCGCGGCUUAUCAGCUUGUUGGUGGGGUAGUGGCUUACCAAGGCUUUGACGGGUAGCCGGCCUGGGAGGGUGACCGGACACGGUGGGACGGAGGUACGGGCGGGACUAGUACAGGAGGAGGGCGGGGGUAAGAGUGCACGAGGGGCGGAUGGCUGAUGCAGCAGGGCGGCGGGCGGGAUGACGGCCGUGGGUUGGUACCCCGCUUUCGCGUGGGACGAUGGGGGAGUGACGGUAAGGGGGAAAGAAGCACGAGAUAACUAGGUGCCAGCGGCGGGGGUAAGAGACGAGUAGAACACGGUUGAAC